UCUUAUUUCUAAGUACUAGUGCCGCAGGAGUGAUUUACACAUCUCCUGCUGCUUAAGUGCUUAUCAAUGAGG
rfam:Papilio machaon contig65577, whole genome shotgun sequence.